GCGAGUGUAGCUCAGGUGGUUAGAGCGCAUCACUGAUAAUGAUGAGGUCGUAGGUUCGAGUCCUACCAUUCGCACAA
rnacentral:tRNA from 2 species